CACGUAGGGUGCAAGCGUUGUCCGGAUUCAUUGGGCGUAAAGGGCUAGUAGGCGGCUUGGCAAGUCGGGUGUGAAAUCUCCAGGCUUAACCUGGAAUCGCCAUCCGAUACUGCCAUGGCUUGAGUCCGGUAGGGGACCACGGAAUUCCUGGUGUAGCGGUGAAAUGCGCAGAUAUCAGGAGGAACACCGAUGGCGAAGGCAGUGGUCUGGGCCGGCACUGACGCUGAAUAGCGAAAGCGUGGGUAGCGAACAGG
rnacentral:rRNA from 1 species